AAACUCACCUGGCAAGGGAGUGAACCAGGUGCACAAAUGUGGUUUUCCCUAGGCAAGAUUCAUCCACAGUACUCCAGAGAGGCUAACCCUGUUAUUUCCCAAAUGCAGGAGAAACAACUGCAAGACUUCUGGUAGUCGGGGCUCACUCAUACGAUUUCCAA